GCAUCGGUGGUUUAGUGGUAAAAUUAGCCGUUGCCAAGCCUUCACAGUGACAGUACAACAACUUCAAAGUGACAGCACAGUUUCGGCUAGCCCCGGGUUCGAUUCCCGGCCGAUGCA